ensembl:snRNA U6atac minor spliceosomal RNA
GUGCUGUAUGAAAGGAGAGAAGGUUCGUCCUCCCCUUGAUGAGGAUGGAAGAGGCCCUCGGACCUUACAACAUGCAUAUGGUUAAGGCAUUGCUGCCUACUUUGUGGCAUCUACCCACGGCUUUGG